UACGGGGGGGGCAAGCGUUGUUCGGAAUUACUGGGCGUAAAGGGUUCGUAGGUGGCCAACUAAGUCAGACGUGAGAUCCCUCAGCUCAACUGGGGAACUGCGUCUGAUACUGAUUGGCUUGAGUGCAGGAGAGGAACGCGGAAUUCCAGGUGUAGCGGUGAAAUGCGUAGAUAUCUGGAGGAACACCGGUGGCGAAGGCGGCGUUCUGGACUGCAACUGACACUGAGGAACGAAAGCCAGGGGAGCAAACGGG
rnacentral:rRNA from 1 species